GUAUACGUCUCUCUCGAUCGGGCGAUCCAUCAUCGUAUCCUCCGAGGAAGGGCUAACGUUGAGUGAACAGUUGAUCUGCCAAUCUGAUAACACGCUGGUGCCAGAGAGCUUUGCGCUUCGACAAUAAAUCCAUAUCGAACCGACCUAUAUAGCGAUACGAGAAGAAAGGAUUAUAGAUGUCGAAUGAUACAUCAAUCUCCACGGUAUCGAUCUUUUUUCGUUCAUUUCUCGAUUAUAUUGUCAGAUAUAAAUUCUUUUUAUUAAACUAUUAUUUAUUAAACUUUUAUCAAAAUAUGUAAUGAUACGCAUAUAUCUUCAAUAAUAUAUCCUCAACAUAUUAAAGUGAACAAAUGAAAUUUUAUAUAUGUAUGUGUAAUAAAUUGCAUCUACCUUAAUAAAUGUUAAAAUAAAUAUUUUAUUUAAAUUUGCAAAAGACUGUUAAUAUAAAUUUUUUACUUUUAUUUAUCAAAUAAUUGUAUAAUUUCAGAUGUUAUAACUAUUAAAUAUGUUUUGCAAGUAAGAUUCUAUCUUCAACAUUAAAAUUCACUUCAAACUAAAUAAACUAAAUAAAGAAUAAAGCUCUUUAUCUAUCUGCAGAUCCGAUUUUAAUAUUAAAAAAAGUUCGUUUCCUCUGUAUAAUGUUUUUUUCUAGUUUAUUAAGUAAACCAAGACUGUUUGUUCGUGUUAAAUAGAUAAAUAGUAUCACGUAGACGUAGAGAGAUACUUUUGCACAGAGUAUCUCGAUACAACAAUUUGUCAGACCCCUAUAAAUUCGGACCAAUUUACGCAAUCACGGACCCGCAAUCGAUCACUCUAAUUCGUUAAAUAUUUCAUGACGCAUCCGGGUACUGUUGUGAGUACGAGAAAAAAAAUUGACGCAGUACCUCCUAACCGAAAGCACGUGCUACAAAUUUCGCGCGUAAACAGCGAUUAGGCCGAGAUCGCCGUGGAAUCUAAUACAUCAAACAAAUGACGCAAUUAUACGAUCCCACGAGAGAGAGUUGCAUACUUCAAGUAACAAUCAACGGGAAAACAUAAUUAUUAUAUUGACGCGAAUUAAACAGCGGCAUUUACUCCCACGGGCUCUUAAUAUUCCUCGAAUGCUUUUAUCGCUUAAUUAUCUCGGGGGGGAGGGCUGUUCUCUUCGCGAGGUCCUCCGGCGAGAUUGAUCUACUGAACUAUCGAACUUCCUGUCUCGUCACGUCGCCAAGAUACUGCCUCUUAAAAUUGACAUUCGACUCACGUAUUCCUGCGGCCUACAAGUUUAAUACAAUACGGGAUUUAACAUGACGUCGGAGAGGUUGUACAGAUACAUAUUUGAUAACUGCGGCCUUGAAUUUGAAAUAUCGAUUUCUGCGGUUUAUUCUCGUUUUUGUACGCAACGAGAACAACCCGCGACCGCAAUGUUACCUAAUGCAAAAAUCAGCGUCAGUCACCGGACGAAUUUUUUUUUCCUGCUAUAAAACAGAAAGUAUAGCUAAAAACUCGCGAAAUAUGUCCCGUUUUUGGCUUCUUUUUAGCCUUAUUUAAUUACUAUUUAAUUUACUAAAAUUUAAUUAAAGCGUUACGUCUAAUUAGCGCAUACUUUAUUGCCAACGUCUAAUAAAUAUGUCAGGGCGGAAAUGUCAUUCAUUCGGCGGGGAACUCCCGCGAGGAAUCACAUGCAAUGCAUGCAUAAACUCAAAAACCCACAGAGACGGUUAGAGGAAAAUGGUAAUAAUGGUCAUGAGAAGAAAAUGACACGUUGCGUGUGGUACAUCUAACAUUUGAGCGCGCUAUUCGCGAAAGUCAUCACGCGAAUAGUAUCGAUUCUCAUUAUUUUUGUUUUUACAUACAACAGCUAAAUUACUCGUGUGUAACUAUUUUGGUAAUAAGAUGUUUUACUGCUAGCUUUAUACGAUCAGUUUUACGAUUACUUAGCUUAAAAUUAUCGUCGCGCGGCUAAUUUUUCGUCGAUAUUUUUUGCAAUCAAUUUGCGCAUGUUGUUUUCGCAAACGUCGUUUUGAAUGUAAUAAGCUUGUUGUACAAUCGAUUUUAUCAUUUCAACAUAUAAGAAAUAUCGACGCGUGAGUAAAUUUCCAUUAACAUAUCCGAUAUAUAAUAAUAAAAUAUUAACACGCGUUGUUUCUGUAAAGUAUCAGUUUAAAAAUAACUUUAUAUAUUUCUUUAAAUUGAAAUUAUGCGAUUAAACGUUAGUGGUUUUGAUGGAUUUAUAUUAGCGUUAUGAUUCACAACGUGAUCGAAUGUCAAUAAUUUAAUAAUUUAAAGCUCAAUAAUGGCCAAUUAUCUUGGCCGAUAUUGAUCGUGUAAAAAGUUUCACGUAGAAUAUCAAUAGUUUUCCUUAUUCCGCAUUUGCGGAAUAAUAAGGAAAAAUUAAAAUAGGUAAAUUAAUAUUAUUGUUGUUACGUGCUUGUGUAUUUUAUAAUAGAAAGUAGAGGUAAAAAUAUGUGUUGUGUGUGUAAAUUAUAAUCAUAAUAACGCUCAAUCGGAAAUUGUUAAUAUCUUUUUUAACAGUCGCAAAAAUGAGCGUGUUAAUUUGUUUGUAUUCAUUUCGUCAAAUUGUUUCGUCAAACGUUAGAUAAGAUUACAUCUUUAAUUGCUUGAAGAGCUCAAAUUCUAUUACAUAGGCGAUGACGUACGUUUAUCACAUAUUUUUUUGAAGAUUACAUCUGUUACGAUAGAAAAAAUUAUUAUUAAAACAAUGAAUGCUAAAAGUAAACGGACACAUAAAUAAACGAACGGAUCACGAGUGAUAAACGUGAUUCCCAAAAAAUUGUAAACAAAAUAUAAUAAAAUUUAAAAAAAUGAAAUAAGUUUAAUUAUUAAUAAUUGUAAAAAUAAUUAUUAUAAAAUCGUGAGAAUAUUUAUUUUUCAUAAAAUAAAUUCCUCUAAUAUCAGUAGAAGUUGCAUUAUCGACUGAAACAAUUUAUGAAGUUUCUUUAGUUUCUUCAGAUAGCUUGUUAUGGAUUUUUAUACGUUUCCAAUAUCCUCGAAGUUUUCUCUUCAAGUUCGAAGACAAAUUUGAUUCAACAAAAGAGUACAAUGUGUGAGCAAUGUAUGCUUUCAAAUCGAGAAUAUAUAAUAGAAAUUGCUCUCAAAGAUAAAAAACGAGAAAAAAUCAAAUAUUGAUUCAUUAAUAGAUAACUUGUAUUGGCCUCGAACUGAAAUUAUAUUUUUCGAAGCAGUACAAAGGACAACACAAAUAAAUUCGUUGAAAAUUAUACCGAAACAUGUGUUGUCAAUAUUGGAAAGAAUUAUACUUUGAAUAAAAUGAAAUAGUUAGUUUUUACUAUAAGUAUUGCAGUAAAAUAAAAUCAAUUUAGUUAUUUAAUUGCCAAUACGUAUAACAAAGUGAUACAUAUAAUUUAAAAACAAGUUAAAAAAAUUAUCUUGUUCUAUCUCAACUCUUACCUCAGAACUUGAGUUAUUUCAAAGUUGAACCAACGAAUGUCUUAUCCUAUGUUGCCUUAUCAUAGAAAUUUGCCUUCGGACGUUUCGUCAUAGAAGAAAUCUGGUUUAUAACGGGAUGCACUUGCGUCACUCGGGAAUUCCACUAUAUACGAUGCAGGAGACAUUUAACUUUUCCACCAGAUACGAAAACGCGUCCACUGUCGUGAUAUGAAAUCGUGUCGACGACUGACUGACUGUGUUUGUUUACGUUUGGCAUCGUCCCGUACUUGUAUCUGCCUGAUAUAUACUUGAUCCCCGCAGAUAAUUAUUAAUGACAUUGUAUAAUGUAAAUUCUAUCGUAUAAAAAAAUAGCUUUCUACUUUCACUGAACUGUUACUAUAAUAUUAUUAUGUAAAACUAAAAAUUGUGAAUCUUUAAAUAACCUAAGAUAUAUAAGACAUUCAAAAGUUGCAUGAAAAACAAAACGUUCCAAUUUUUUAUGACUUAAAUAUCCAUUUAUCCAUUUAUUAAUUUUAUAGUUAUUGCAAAUUGAAAUUAUUUAAUUAAAUUAUAUUCAACUAUAUUUCACAUUAAAUUGCGAAAAAUUUAGCUACUUUAACAAUAAUAGUUGAAUAUUUUAAUUAAUCUAUUAUUUAGAUUCGUUACAAAAAGGAACUAUAUAAUUUUAAUUUUAUAAUAUUACAAUUGUAAAACUGAAACUAAAUUUAUGAAAAUGGAUAAAAAAUCGAGUAGCACGUACACGUACAUACAAACCAAUUAUAAAUCACUUCAAAUUUUCUUCAUUUCGGUUGUGUUCACGAUUUUUAUGUCCUUUAAUUCUUUUCAUUCUGAAUUACUCUGUACAAUUUUUAAAAAUAUUUGUUCGUAUAUUUGUAGUUCAUGGGAUAAAAAUUUCUGUCAUUUCGCACGUACGAGGAAUCUUGCAAGUUUUACAUUCUUAUCUUCAGUAUGAGUUUAGGCCUCCUUUUUUUCCUCUUCAUGAAACUGUCUUCUUCUGCGAUGAAUACGAUUGACAUUAAUCUGUCUUAUAAGAGACAUACAACUUCAUGGAUUUACUUCGUAGAAGUCCUAGAUAAGGAAAAAAUAUUUAAAUUUUUAAGAAUGCUAUCAACGUGAUACAACUGUUUUUCCCUAAUUAUGUGUGUCAGGGUAAAGGUAGAAUUUCCCUCGUGCGCUGAGUAAUCAUUACUUCUGGAGGACAGCCGAUCACGAAUGGAGGAAAUAUCACGUAUCGGAUGUUGUAGAAGUACCUGUCAAGUAAACGCUCUCCGUAAAAACGUGUCGGAAUGCAGAACAAGAUUGAUACAAUAGUAAAUACUUGAAUAUUUAGAUUCGAUUAGCGUAUCUUAGAUGCUGAUAACUCAUCGAUUAUUUGUAUGGCGAGAUUAAUCAUGAAUUUAUCAAACGACAGUGUAAAUGCAAUAAAUAUCCUUGCAAAAUAAGAAA